rnacentral:rRNA from 1 species
GAUGAACGCUGGCGGCGUGCUUAACACAUGCCAGUCGAACGGAAAGGCCAGUGCUUGCACUGGUACUCGAGUGGCGAACGGGUGAGUAACACGUGGGUGAUCUGCCCUGUACUUCGGGAUAAGCUUGGGAAACUGGGUCUAAUACCGGAUAGGACAACUUUUUGGAUAUUGUUGUGGGAAGCUUUUGCGGUAUGGGAUGAGUUCGCGGCCUAUCAGCUUGUUAGUGGGGUAAUGGCCUACCAAGGCGUCGACGGGUAGCCGGCCUGAGAGAGCGUACGGCCACUCUAGAACUCAGAGACAGCCCAGACUACUACGGGAGGCAGCAGUGGGGAAUAUUGGACGAAGGGCGCAAGCCUGAGGCAGGGAGGCCGCGUGGGGGAUGAAGGCCUUCGUGUUGUAAGCACCUAUCGCUAGGGAAGUAGCUUUUUUGUGACGGUACCUGGAGAAGAAGCACCGGCUAACUACGUG